CACUGUCUUUCCUGUUGACGCUCCUCGCUUUUCUGAGACUGGUCCGACCUGGCAGGAGCUCCGUCGCUUUUCGUGCCUGUGACGCUGGUGGCCUCAGAGACCAGAUGAUGGCGUGGGAUCCCCUGGAUCUGCAGUGGUUGCUGGUCAGCUUGUGGAUGACGGACCGUCCUCUGGAAGAGCAGCCAACCGUGAUUAAUCACUGAGCCAUCACAUUAGACCCAUAAAGUAUUCUGUAGCUCAUGCUGGCUUCUAACUCUAUGUAGAAGAGGAUGAUCUUGAACUUCUGAUCCUCCUGCUGGAUUAUAGGCUCUCACUAUGUAGCCCUGGCUGGCCUGGAAAUCCC